rnacentral:lncRNA from 1 species
UUUCUUCUUCCUGCCAUCUCCUAACGGUCAAAUGAGCUUUGUAUGUGGAAACCAUAGAGGGCCGUAGCCCAUAAGUUCAGGCCCUACAGCUUAUGUACUAAUGGCCAGCCCAUUCAUAGGGCCCGGUCCGCCUACACCAGUCACAAUUAUGGACCAAUUAGCUGUCAGAUUAUUGACUUCUAUCACAUGUGACUGCAGUGUGAUUAGACAAGCUCGUUUCGUCUCCUAAACAGGAAUUCAUAAUACCUUGUUAACCGAUCAUUAGAAGUGGCUGAAUAGCAAAAUAAAAAUUAAAGAAAUACUUUACAUAUUAAAUAUUUUGGAUAUUUAUCAAAAAAUUGAAUUUAUAAUUUGUGUUUUUUAUAUAAACUCGAAGAGGUAUAUAUUUUGAUCUUAUAAGUCAAGAAAGUAUUAAAAAGAUUGAAAGUUUGUACAUAUUCAAUUAUAAAUAUUGGAGUUCAUAGAGACUCAAACACACUUCAGUUUAAUCUAAAUUCCCCGAUACCAUGAAUGAAGGCAGCUGACUAACAAAAGAAAAAGUAAAAAAAUAUAUUAUAUAUUAAAUGUCUUAGAUAUUCAUCGAGAAAAAUUAAAUUGAUUGAAAUUUUCAAUUCAAAAUAAAAAAAUUAAGAAUAAACUAAUUACAUACUCAUUUUUAAAUUUGGUCGGAGUUCAACCACUCCAUUUGUUCCUCUUUUGGUGCCUCCACCUUUCACUUGUUCGUCUAUUUUUACUCGCACGAAGAUUUGAACAAAUGACUAAUCUAAAUGUUUUGAUAUCAUCUCAUUAACUGUUACAUCUCAAUAACUCGAGUUGUUAGACGAAGGUUAAUUACAAAUUUUAUAUUUACAUGCCCCUCAAACGAAAGUUAAUUGAUGAGUUGAAAGCUUGCAUAGGCCAAACUAUAAAUAUUGAAGUUCGUGGAGAUUCAGACACACAUCUGUUUGGUCUAAAUGCUCUGAUAUCAUUUUAUGAAUCAUUGCACCCGAUAACUCGAAUUGUUAGGAGUGGGUUAAUUAAUUUAUCUUAUAUGAUUCUCGUACAAGAGUCCAAAUUGACGAAGAAAGCAACAAAGACACGACCAUGAGAAUCUCGAAGGAGGGGCUCCAACAAUUGCUAUGCUAUCUAGUUGAAUAACCGACCCAUCUGUAUUGAUGGUGAUUCCAUCUCCGGAGUGAGCUUUCAACUAAUGAAAGCUUCAUGCCUUUAACGUUUAUUGUCAAUAAACAAAGUUACACUCGAUUUCAUUGUCUCUUGAAUUCCAAUGAUCCAAUAACUCGUAUCAGGCUUCUUUCGUCACUUAUGAGUUAGUGUGUUGGGAAAAUAAUCAACGGCGCCGUAUCAAUGGACGAUUCCCAAUAGUCCCAUAAAGUUGCGAUCUCCAGAAAAAUCUCCAUAAGUUCAGUUGUAGCGAACCAGAACUCUCUGUUUUCUUCACCUCCACACUUCGAAUCCUUCACCUCCGCUCACAGCUCUUCUUCUCCACUGGCCGCGAUCCGAUCUGACCUGAGAAAAAACCGGUGAAGGUGAUGGCGCCGCCGGCAGCCGGCAGCGCCUGCUGCUGCGAUACAGCAGCAGGGACAGCCGCCGCAAGGAAGGCAGCAACAGCAAGCAGCUGGUGGGAUGGGGCAGACGAUUACUGGGAUCAUUAGGAUUGCUGUGUUUUGGUACUUCGCUUCCAAGUUCUUCUCUCCCGCCAAGAAACCCACCUCCGACCCUGCUCUUCUCACCUCUAAUUUAUUCCAGAAGGGCGAGCUAAUGGUAUUCUCGAUUCAGCUCUUUUGUAGUUGCUUUUCUCUUAAAUAGAAUUAGCCAUUUAGGUCAGAUUUAUCUUUUUUACUGAUUCGAAUUCAAUUGCUGCAUCUGAGCAUAUUGUAGUUUUGUCAGUGAUGGUUUCUGUUUCUGUAAUAGUUGCAAAUAUCUUUUGGUUGCCUUUCCUGAUGUUAUUUGUGGUGAUACUGAAGUUGCUUCUUUCAAACCUUCUUUCAAUGUUAAUUUAAUAUGGUUGUGCUUUCUCUGCCAGGAUAUGUGGUUCUAUAUUUCCGAGAGUGAGAAGUUCGAUGACUUCAGCAAUGAAGGUGCACUUAUUUGGCAUGAGACUAACAUACCUUAUGCGGUUUGGGGACCCCAAAGUACUAGGUCUCUUUCUGUGAAGUAUUAUCCCUCCGAGGUACAAUUUUUUCUGUGUGUGUACUUUCUAAUCAUAUUUAUGUUGAUAAUUGGAGUGCUUAGAGUCGUAUGGCAUGAUUUUUAUGGUCGUUGCUUGUCUAUAAACCAGAUGUGUUUGCAUACUCUCGCUUCACCUCGCUUCGGUAGUCAUAGUUUUGUUGGACAUUUAGUUUUGUUCUAGGAGAUUACUGAUCGUUCAUCAUUCAUAAAAAAUAGAAGACUACUGCCUCUAGUAUUUAUGCCAGUCUAAAGUGGAAGGUUUAUACUGAUUUCAUAAUGGUUCAAGUACUUUAUUAAAAGGUGUAUCUUUCUAUGCAUCAUUUUCAGGCAUUGAAGCACAACGGCAGUCUUUAUGCUCAUGUUUUCCUUGCACGUUCUGGGUAUCCACCGGACCCAAAAGAUCCAGAAUACCAGCCUCUUGCUGCCUUUGGAAGGACUCAUCGUAUGAUUUCAUCUUUUUCAAGGCUCAUACUUCACAGUUUUUAUAUAUUUAUGUUGGGUUUUUUUAUACUCAAAGUGAUCUCUUUUCUACUAAUUCUUCAGCCAUUGUGGUCUACCUACCAAAGUCGAAAUCUGAUAAGAAGAAGAGUCUGCUGGAUGCAAAAGGUGGCGAGGAAAGUGAACCACUGACUCAGGUAUCUCCUCCUCAGCUGAUCUCAUUAGAGUAAUUUGGUGAUAUUUUUAUCUAGAAUAUCUUCAGGAUCUUAAUUACUCUUUUGCAAUUGAUUUUUUACCAUCCCGAUGAAUUCUAUUAUCUUCAGUUUUCCAAAGGCAUUGUCUGCUCGGAUUCCAUAUUUAAUUUUUCAGCAUCAUAUCUUUCUUUUCUCUGAUAAUUUGUGAGGUGUGCAAUUCUAGUCCGAGCAGCCCUGAGACAGAUGCAUAUUGUUUAUAUCAGGUGGCUGAUGAUGCUGAGUCUGAGGCUAAAGAUGAAGGUCCCCCAGAAUGGAUUUCCUAUUGGAAACCAAAUGUUACCAUAAACCUGAUUGAAGACUUCUCCAGGUAUAUUUUGUCUUUUUCACUCUGUGUUGGAUAUGGUCAUGUGAGCAAUAAAAUAAUGCUGUCUUGAGCACAAAAGACAGUGAGGAUGUUAACAGACGGAGACUCUUAAAAUAAUACUAAAACCAGUCCAUGUUCUCUUUUCCUUGGGUUUCAUCGAAAUAAGGCUUUUUGGUUAUAUUUCUAUGUUCUGUAUGUUAACAUUGUAUUGGAAAGUUGAGAGUUAUCUUUUCCAGGUGCGUUUAGUCUUUCACAAUAUUGUUGCUUAUGCUUUAUGUUUGUUAAGGAAUUCGACUUCUAUUUGUUUAGAUUACUGCCCUUUUCCUAUGCGGCAGUACAAAAGUAGACAUUGUUUUCUUUCUAAUGAACAAGACAAAUGCAUUAAAACUUAAAUGAAUAAAAAACACAGGUAAUGCACCAAAUGCCUUGUUGUAAUAUUGGCUAAAAAGGAUUGUCAUGGUCCGUGUUUUGAUUUUCAUUUCCCUUUAUGUAGUUUGAAAUUAUCAUUUUGGCAGUUCCUCUUGCUUUGGCAUGGAAAUUUUUGUUUUCAAUUUUACAGUCUAUAAGCUAACCGUUUUCUUUAUUUGGUUGUUUGUCCACAGAUAUUCACAAAAUGCAGUACCACCAAAUAUUGCUCCUUGUAUCCUUGAAUCGAAUUUUCAAGUUAUUAUUUUCACCUAAUCUUUAUAGCUUCUUUGUGUUCCUGCACUUUGGAAGGAUAAUCUUCCACCGGAAAGAAGAAUUUUAGAGGGUAGAGCUCUGGACAGGUAGUAACCUGUUCAGCAUCAUUCCUGCAUUUUAUUGGAAGGGCAUAAUGAAAUGUGAAAUGAACAUUACUCACUUAGUAGGCUGACAAACCUUGCACCGUACAUAAUGCUCAAUAUUACCUUAUGUUGUUGUUGUUGUGCUCCUUAACUUCACAUCAUAGACUUGAACUUUGAGUCUAGCACUGGGAAUUACUAUCCCACCAUAUUCUUCAAUGAAUUUUGGUUGCUCAGGGAUAAGUUGAUCGCACUGAAUGAUACAGUGACAGAAUUGACACUUAAUUUGGAGGUUGGCCCAAUGAGUAUGACAAAGUGGCAACUGUUUCUUCAGAUUGAUCAGUCAUUCCAGAUCCAUAGAAGUUAUGGAAGCAUGCUUGAAGGUGAAGCUGAUGAAUUGAAGGUACUGUAGGUUUAUAUUUACAACAUCAGGGAUCGUUUCUUUGUUAUCUGUACUUGUAAUAUGGUUUCAUAACAAAAGGACAUUAGUAAACUAAUACAUGAUAAAAAAAAUACUUUGUUUGGAUGGUGAGAUCCUGUUUCACAAUGUCCUCUAAUGUUUGACUGUCUGCUAGUUUUGAAUUCGAUGGUGGAAAAUAAUUAUUAAUGCCUUGCCUCAUUUAUUUUCCCGUCUUUCAGAGGGUUUUCCUAGAAGGAAAUCCUUACCUUCUUGGUAUCACAAUGGUUGUUUCCUUGUUCCAUUCAUUGUUCGAUUUCCUGGCCUUCAAGAAUGGUGAGUAGUAUUCACUUGUUUUUCUUUCACAAGUACAUCUGAAUGUCCAGUUAUUCAUGGGAGUAUUUCCUACUUGCUGCAGAUAUACAAUUUUGGAAUAAAAACAAGUCUAUGGAAGGGUUGUCUGCAAAAUCAGUUGUUGUGAACUUCAUAUCACAGCUCAUCGUGUUUCUCUAUCUACUUGACAACGACACUUCAUGGAUGAUACUUGCAAGCUCUGGUGUUGGUGUAUGCAUCGAGUUUUGGAAAAUUGGUAAAGCCAUGCACAUUGAGGUAUGACUCAUACGUAAAAGUUUGUGUAGCUUUGAUAGAAAUAUUUAGUUGCUUGCGAAUUUAAACUGAAAUGAAUGUCAUCACAUUCACAGGUCGAUAGAAGUGGCAGGAUACCAAUGCUGAGAUUCCGAGACCGCGAGUCUUAUGCUGGAAACAAGACGAAAGAAUACGAUGACAUGGCGAUGAAGUACUUGUCAUACGUGAUAAUGUUCCUCGCUGCAUGCUUCGCUAUUUAUUCACUAAAGUAUGAGCGUCACAAGAGCUGGUACUCCUGGAUUCUCUCGUCUUUAACCAGCUGCGUCUACAUGUUCGGUAAGCCAUCAGUUUUCCCUCUUCACAGAAUUUCGAAUCAUUAUGUCGUCCAGUGGUAGAAGUUUGACAUUCGGUUGUUGUGUUAAUCUGGCAGGUUUCAUCAUGAUGUGUCCUCAGCUGUUCAUAAACUACAAGCUGAAAUCCGUGGCUCAUAUGCCUUGGCGACAAAUGACGUACAAGUUCCUCAACACCAUCAUUGACGAUCUGUUUGCCUUCGUCAUUAAAAUGCCUAUCCUGCAUAGACUUUCAGUCUUCCGUGACGGUAAGCCUCCCAAGACAUGUCCUUUCUGUCCAAGCUUCCAUCUGCCGAAUAAUCUUUUCAUGUGUUGCCGUGUUUUUGCUUCGACUUAAUGGUCCAUUCUGGGUUGUUCUUUGUUUGCAGAUAUCAUAUUUCUGAUCUACCUAUACCAGAGGUGGGUGUACCCGGUCGACAAGAAGCGUGUGAACGAGUUUGGUUUCGGAGGCGAGGAAGAACAGGCCUCGAUCACAGCUGGUGAUGCCGCUGCUGCUGUAGCUACAGUGGAGAAAGAGGAAGAGAAGAAGACUAAGUAGAGUCAACCCUUUAGGAUAUGUCUUUGUUUUAGUAUAACUCUUGGAAAGUGGGAAGACAGAGUUAAGUUACUCAUUUCCGUUGUGUCUUUUCUCUUUUGUUUAGGUUUUUGUUAGAAUGCAGAUUCGAAAUCGAUUUUGUUAGAAAGCAUUUUGCCCAAAUGCUACCUGAUAAGGAAUUGACAGUUUUCUAAUCAGUUUCUGGUUCGAAACUCCUUUCAUAGAUUCACUCCUUUCAUUUGAUAUCAGAGCCCUAAAUCUUCUCGGUUUAAUGACAUUGUCAUUUUAGGAAAACACAUCGAAAACCUUCUUUGAAGGAUGCUAUCGGUUUCUGGUUCAAAUUGAUGACGAAUGGUUAGGAUGUAGUUAGAUUUGAGACUGGGUAGGGCGAUUGAACCUCUACUAAUGUCUAAUGUGACGGUUGAGACAUCUCCCAUUAAUGUGAUAAGAUGUCAUGUCAUGUGUUCCCUACCGAAAACUAGAAAGAACCAUCAUGCCCUCAUGGCUAGGUGUGUGGGCUUUCCAGGUCCGAGCCUUUCAAAAGGCAUCAUAGACAUGUUACAUGAAAAUUAUUCACUAUUUAGGGACUUAGUUAAAGAAAAGAAGACUUGGAGGAGAUAUAAGGUAUAAGUGUUUUUUUCUCGAGGCAAAACAAGGAAUAAUAACACUUGCACACAUGACUGAGGAAUAUGAAAAAAGGAGCCGAAGGAAGCCUAGCAAAGUGGGUAUGUGCUAUGAAAAAGCAAUGUGUUGGAAAUGGCUAUUUGUUUCGUUUCCUCCUUCCUCCCUACACCGCCCCACCCACCGUCGCCGCCACAUUUGCUUGCACCAUAUCCAUCCAUCUCUCCCUCUUGACAUUUAUAGUAUUUACAGUAGCCUAUUAUGUCGACUCUAUAAUUUCAGACAAAACCCUCCCAUUCAUAAUAAUACAGAGCAUAGUGUACAAGAACUACAGCUCCCUCCGCAGAAAGCUCAGAGAAACCAAAGAUUGAGAAACAAGAGCACUACCGUAUGCUGUAGGAAGAAGAAGAAGAAGCUCAACUUGCCUACUGGUCAGUCAGCCAUGUCAAUUACAUUAUGUUUAUUGUACUUCCUUUCUGUGCUUAGCUAUUUUGGUCUUCUAUCUAAUAAUUCGUUGCAAAGUCCUUGUCUUUUUCAAAUGGGUUUCUUCAAUUAUUGUUCUUUUUUCUUUCUAAUAUGGAGGUAGAACAGUCGAAUGAGCAAGCUCGAGGAGAACAACAAACCCACCAAUGCAGGGGAGGAAGUUGUCAUAACAUUCAAUUCAACAUCCAGCCCCAAUGCUCAAACGGACGCCAAGAUUCCAACUUCACCCGUCCAAAACGAAACCCUUCUCAGAAGGAGGACAUUUGCUAGGUCUUUGGUCUCCAAACCCAAGUCCAGAUUUGGAGAGCAACCCUACACCCUUGAUUCCAAAGCACUUGAUGAGCACAGUUUAACCCUCCAGGAACAUUUUGCCCCUAGCUCACCUUACAAGAACCUUGCAUCAGAUACCAGGACUGUUUCCAUAACUCAGAAAUCACCUUCAAGAGAGGCAGAAGAGGAGGAAGAGGAAGAGCAGGAGAGGGAGUUAGUCCACCGUGUUGAGAUACAACAAAGAAACACUACCAAGAGAGGUAAAACUGCAGGCACCAAGAAUGUGAUUCAAUGGGCCGCCAUUUUGAUCAUUGUGGGCUGUCUAGUAGCUUCCUUAACUGUCACUAAACUAAAAAGCACCACACUUUGGGGGCUUGUGUUGUGGAAAUGGUGUGUUGUAAUCAUUGUGGUGUUCUAUGGGUUGUUGGUGACAAGUUGGAUUAUGCAAAUUGUGGUUUUGUUGAUUGAGAUCAACUUCCUCCUUCGAAAAAAAGUUCUCUACUUUGUCCACGGCUUGAGGAAGAGCGUUCAGGUAUUCGUCUGGAUAGGCUUCGUGCUCGGGACAUGGGCGUUUGUGUUCAGAGGCGGAGUCCACGCAUCCAACACCGCCACCAAGGUGUUGGAUUUUGUAACGUGGAGUCUCGUUUCGUUACUUAUCGGGUCGUUCUUGUGGCUUUUGAAGACUUUGUCAAUGAAGGUCUUGGCUUCUAACUAUCAUGUGACAAGAUACUUCGAUAGGAUUCAGGAAUCUGUGUUUCAUCAAUAUGUGUUGCAGACAUUGUCUGGUCCUCCGCUUGUGGAGGAGGCCGAGAAGGUUGGGAAAGUUCCGAGCACGGGUUUGUUGAGUGUUAGGAAGGUGAAGAAAGGGAGCAAAGGAAGUGUCAACGAGAAGAAAGUGAUUGAUAUGGUGGAGGUUCAGAGGAUGAAGAAGGAAAAGGUUUCAGCUUGGACCAUGAAGGUUUUGGUUGAUACUGUCACGAAAUCGGGUCUUUCGACUAUCUCGGAUUCGUUGGAUAAAUGUACUUAUGAUAACAAAGGUGGCCAGGGUGAUAGCGAGGUUUCGAAUGAACUGGAAGCGACUGUUGCCGCGUUGCGCAUAUUCAGGAAUGUUGCUCCACGUCGUAGCAAGUACGAAGAUAUUUGUUGUGGUGGCUUUGUUUGAGAGGCUUGAGUUUGAUCUUUGUGUUGAUAGUUUCCUCUGUUGAUAUGUAGGUAUAUUGAAGAAGAGGAUCUUUUGAGAUUUAUGAUCAAGGAAGAGGUGGAUCUGUUCUUUCCUUUGAUUGAAGGUUCUGAAAGUGGGAGGAUUGACAAGAAAGCUUUCACUUCAUGGGUGGUAAGGCUGCUUUAAUUUCUUAAUACUUGAAAAGUAUGAAUUGCAGUUUCUUACCAGUGUUAAUGAAGAAUAUAAAAAUCAAUCUGAACCUUCUAUCAAUAAUUCGAGUUAUUAGGACAUAGUGGUUCUUGAUAACUUGUACUCGCAGGUUUAGACCAUAUUCUCUCAGCUUAUAUGUCGUGUUACUCACAGGGCUUUUAUUUCUUAAGGGGUGUUUGGAUGUGUGGUCUUUUGGAUAAGAAUGAUGCAUAAUUUGAGAAUGUUGGGAUUUAUGCUGUUACUACUUCGACCAUAUUCUCUAUCAGCUUAUAUAUGGUGUUACUACUCACAGGUGAAAGUAUACAACGGCAGAAGAACACUCGCACACGCCCUAACCGACACCAAAACAGCCGUUAAACAACUGAACAAGUUGGUAACAGGGAUCCUCAUCAUUGCCUCAAUAAUCAUCUGGCUUCUUCUCUUGGAGAUCGCCACAACCAAAGUUCUAGUCUUUCUGUCAUCACAGCUUCUUCUGGCAGCAUUCAUGUUUGGAAACACUCUCAAAACCAUAUUCGAGGCCAUCAUAUUUGUGUUUGUGAUGCAUCCAUUUGAUGUCGGUGAUCGUUGUGUCGUUGGUGGCGUCCAGGUAAGAGUUCGUUGAUUUUCUUCCUGUGUUCGAAAUGCCUAUAUAGUAUAUACCUUCUCAUUUCCGAACUUUGAUGACAGCUCUUGGUUGAAGAGAUGAACAUCUUAACGACGGUUUUCUUGACGUUGAACAACGAGAAGAUCUUCUACCCGAACUCGGUUCUGGCUACGAAGCCGAUCAGCAAUUACUACAGAAGCCCUGAUAUGGGGGAUACUGUGGAGUUUUCGAUUGAUUUCGCCACCCCGGUUGAGAAGAUCGGGUUGCUCAGAGAUAGAAUCAAGAAGUAAGUCCAUUUUCAUUGAUUUUGUUUUAGACUUCCCUCUGUUUUUCACGAACCAAGUCUAUUGUAUUGGAGGUUGGUUCGUUACGUUUUAAGCAAAUUCGAGUUCGAAUUAGGAAAUUUGAAACCAUCUUAGCUCGUUACCUACGCUUAAUGAGCCUAAUGAGCCAAACUCGAGCUCAACUCCAAUUUCGCUUAUGAAAACCCCUCCGAUGAGUCCAAUUUGAGUCGAAUUUGUACACUAAAAAACAUCAACAAUUCAAGCUAAAAACAACGUAUCUUAAAAUUUACAAGUUUCUACUUUUCACAUUUAAAACAAUUGCAUACACUUAAGCAAUGUACUACUUACGUUUUCAUAAGUACAAUAAAUAAUUACAUAAGAUAUAUUAUACAUGGUAUUUGAGGUAAAGUAGACGUUGCAUUAUUGAAUCUACUAACCAGCCAUAUACUCUGCAUUAUUAAGCCGAUUGGUCAACAUCCCGUGAUGCUUACGGUUUGUUACUACCACAACUUGCUGGUUUGUGCAGUUACUUGGAGAAGAAUCCACAGCAUUGGCAUCCGAACCACAACAUCAUGGUGAAGGAGAUCGAAGAAGUGAACAAGUUGAAGAUGGCUCUGUACUGUAAUCACACGAUGAACUUCCAAGAGUUUGCAGAGAAGAACAGGAGAAGGACUGAGUUAAUGAUGGAGAUGAAGAAGAUCUUCGAGGAGCUGGAUAUCAAAUACUAUCUCCUACCACAACGUGUUCAUCUGAUGAGCCAUGUCCAUAAUGAAUCAACAGAUGCAAUUACUUCUACACCUGCAUGAUUUUAAUUGUCGGAUUCUUGCUAAAACCCUUCCCAGAAUCUUCGACUAUUCUGGUUCCGUUAUUGUACGUAAGUAGGUGAAAUGAAAUGACAUCGGGUAGAGUAGAGUAAAGCAGCUUGUAACAUAUGAUAGGAACAUGAAGAAGGGGAUUAUGUAUGGAGGGCCUAACUAAUUAACUUCAUAACCUGAGAAUGUUACAUAAGUUGGGACAUGAAUCAUUGGAUUAUAUAAUUUUGUUCUACGAUUUCGUAUCUGACUGAGAUUAGUUGAAGGGAGUUGAGUUAAAUUUGAGAAGAGGUGUCGAAAGAAAGUUGAAUUGAGGAAUAUUAAUAGUUCGUUUGUUUGUUUGUAUUUUUAAUUUGGAAGAGAUUUGGAAAGUGAUUUUAUAGGGUGAUUUGGUUGAAAUAUCAUAUUUAGAAUAGAAAAUUGAAAUGGGAUUUGAAAUCACUUUGUGGUCCUCUCAAGUGAUUUGGGAAGUGAUUCUAAAUCUACUUUAUGGACCUGAGAUUUUGACAAAUCUCAAGAGUGAUUUGGGAAGUGAUUCCGAAUCUACUUUAUGACCUCGAGAUUUUGACAAAUCUCAAGUGAUUUGAACAGGAAAUGAUCAAAUCACCUUAUUGAGUAUAGAAGAAUGUGAUAAAUUUGAGGUAUAUUAGUCAUUUAUAAUAUUAGAAUUUCUCUUUUAAUUUUGUUUUGUCUGGUAGAGGCCUUUCGGUGAACACAAAAUAGAAAAUAUAAGUACACAUGACAAAAUGUGUCAAUUUCGUGGGGCGUUUUGGAUUCAAAUCUCUUACUAUUUGAAACCAUUUUCGACCAAAUCACAAAAUCAAAUUACCAGUAUGUUUACGAAAACUUAAAGUGAAAGUCAUAAAACACUACUUAUUGCAACGACACAAGGGAAAGUGCUGUAUGUACUGGCUAGUUUAAUGAUCCGGAUGACUAUGGCAUCUUCCAUGGAACAUAGGUUGCAAUUUUAGCCCCACUUACAUCUCCAACAUCCUUGGCUUCACAUGGUAGAGUAGAGGUUUGACCCGUUACGACAUCAACUACUUGCAAAUGGUUCUUGCCCCCAUCACUACACAUUACUUUGCAUGACUAAUUAUGCGGUUUGGAGAAGUUUUUAAGGACGAGUUUGCACCAAGACUUUCCGACACCCCACUGUUGUAGCCCCCACACCUCGUUCGCCUCAGUGAAAAUCACCAACAUGUCCUCCUUCGUCAUGAACACUAACGGCCGCUUCCCCGCCUUGGCAUCAUUGCGACGAAACGGCGAUGUUUUCCCUUACGCAUAACACCUCAGUACUCGGAUCAAACGAAGUAAUGUUGUUAGGCUGUUGCUGGAUUUGUGAUUUCCAUUGCAGAGAGAAGUACUGGAGGAAAAUUUUAACACAAGGAAUGAUGAAGCUUUUCCAUCCUUACAGUUCAUUAUGAACACAGCUGCAAAAAAAGUGGUGGAGUUGGGAAUUGAACCCGACGUGAAUCGAACACGCAACCUUCUGAUCUGGAGUCAGACGCGCUACCAUUGCGCCACGGAUCCACCUGUUGAUAAUGUCAUAGCGUAAUUUAUUCUAAUUUUAAUGUCGCAAAAUUAUACCGUCUCGAAGUGUGGCUAAGAUGCUGUUGGUAAUUUAGUUCUCCCACCGCUUUCAGAUGGAUACUCUGUUGAGGAGCAGACGAUCAAAGACUGGAACCCAGAAGGAAAAUUCGCGAGGAUCAAAUGGCUGAUUGUGCAUUGCAUUCGUAUCUGUUUAAGAAAUUGCAGUUUCACCGAGCUUUGAUUUUUCGCUCUUGAUGAUGCCAAACAGCCCAAAGUUGCACAUUUCCGACGAAUUAUAUGCGAUUUCUGGCAUGGCGUGGAUCAUUGCUUGUGAAGAAGGAAGAGUAAGUCUAUCGAUCAUCAUCUCUUGUUUAGUCAACAUGUACAGGGUAAAGUAAGUCAGUUCAUCUGAACUUUUUACAGUGUUCGUAAGCUGAAAGGGAAUGGCCCAAGAAUUUCCCUCGAGGAGGACAUGUAAUGGCUUCCUAGAGUGACUGCUACUGACUCGCCAUCAAGAUUCUUCAAAGGUUCUUCCCGUAACUUCGGCAUUUGUUAUUUACGAUACAGUAUGAAUCUACGUGAUGUCCAGUGCACAGAAUUCCAACAGGACAUUGUGUUUUGUAUUCAUUCUAUAUGAAAAGACUUAAUCCGAAAAUAUAUCCAAAUGCUUUACUUAGGAUGUCCCAGUUGAUUCUUGUACUGGAUUUAUUAUCAUGGCUGGCCGUCUCCGUUAAAGCUACCUACAACGCGUCGCGCGUUAUAACGGUUCGGGAUUGUCAAUUUACGUAAUUAAGGUUUCGAGUGGAUUAUCUACGUAAAUUUCGAUUUAAUAUUGCCUACAAAAAAUUUCCGUGAUACAAUAUUAAUUAAAUUUUAAAAAAUCAUUAAUAUUAAUCAAAAAUAGAUUAAGCAUAUAUACUAGUUUCUAACCAGUUGCCCUGCAUGUUCAUAAAUUAAAUUAUUUAAUUUAAGCAUGCUCUACAUGUAUUGGUGUUGUCUGUACUAUACUUAUGCCAGAUACUUUUUUUAUGACAAAGAAUAUUUUUGACGGACAUUAUAAUAUUAGUAGGUGAACUUUGAGGUUGUCAGCCUUUAAUUCAGAUAAGAUUGGUGAUGUUAUUAUAAGAAUUGAAAUGAUUACGCAUUUUUUAGAAUAAAAUCAAACAAUACAACCAUUUAAUUACAAGACUUUAAGAAUAUUUUUUGAUUUGUGAUCCGGGUUUGCGUAUCUUAUCCCAUUUCUUGAAUUGAAGUCUUUCAUUAAUUUCUAAUGGAUGUGUAUAAAAUUCAUUUUCCAAAAAAAAAAAAANNNNNNNNNNNNNNNNNNNNNNNNNNNNNNNNNNNNNNNNNNNNNNNNNNNNNNNNNNNNNNNNNNNNNNNNNNNNNNNNNNNNNNNNNNNNNNNNNNNNNNNNNNNNNNNNNNNNNNNNNNNNNNNNNNNNNNNNNNNNNNNNNNNNNNNNNNNNNNNNNNNNNNNNNUUGAUAGUCUUUUUCUUUUAUAAAUGUUAGUUGACUUUUGUUAGUAGCAUUUCUCAAAUUCGCAUACAACCUAAAAUAAUCAAUAUAGAGAAAUAUGUAAUAAUGUAAUGCAACGGAUUGUAUAGAAGAAAUACACUGCAUUCCAUUGUAAAACCAAGUAUGAUGCUCACAAGACCAUGUAACACCGGGUUGAAUUUUACACGUUACGUAAGAAAUUAAGAAAAAUAAGAUGAUAUGUUGUAAAUAUAUUUCAAUGAAAAUAUAAUUUUGAUGUAUUAUGUUGUUCAUUGUUUUUUUCACCGGUAUGGACUUUCAGAUUUCUAAUAAGUGAUCUUUCAUAAGUCUGAUAUAUGUUCAAUUGAUAUGUUAUGAGAUGAGAGGUAUANNNNNNNNNNNNNNNNNNNNNNNNNNNNNNNNNNNNNNNNNNNNNNNNNNNNNNNNNNNNNNNNNNNNNNNNNNNNNNNNNNNNNNNNNNNNNNNNNNNNNNNNUAGUAGACGUUAAAUGUCCUGUCAUAAUAUACCCAAUAAAAAAGUAAACAUAUUUUUAGUGAUAUUAAUUGGUAAAGAAUAAUUUGAACCGUUCAUUUCGAAUUUCAAAUUCAACAGAUUAAAAGAUGAACUUAAAUUAAGAUUAAAUUUAUAAUUUUUCUUUAUUUUUUUAUAAACAAAAUUUUAAAGUUUAAAGCCUAAAGUAUUGGAUUUUCAGUUUUGAAUUUCGGGUUUCGAUUUUAAUUUUAUUUUUUUUGUUUUUGGGUCUAGAUCAUUGAAUUUUUAAUUUUUUGGUUUUUAAAUUUUAGGUUUUGAUUUUAAAUUUCAGAUAUUUUCUGAAAAUGACAAAAUUACCCCUAUUAUGAUUUUGUUCGAGAUAAGCGCAAACAAUACAAUACAUUUAUUAAUUAAUAUUUUAAUUCAAAUUACAUGAUCCGAAAAUCACACAUACACAAUAAUCUGCAAAAGGAAAAGUAAAGAUGAUAGUGAUGAGAGGCUCAGAGCUUGGUAGCUAGCUAGCUAAUGUCCAAUGCAGAUUUCCAAUGAAGGAUGCAAAAACCUAUCUCGGUCGGUACGCGAAACCAUAUCUCACUCCAAACGGUUGGAGUCUAAAGAGGGAGAACGUGUGAGUGUACGAAUAAACCUCAUGAAUGCCUGGAGAAAACGGCAAGGGAAUAAUAGGAUCGUUGGAGUCGUUAUGAGAGAUUUGAGAUCGAUUUCCUUCGUAAUACACCAACAUCGUCAGGCCGCCUUCCGGGUGGGUCGUUUUCAAAUACCACCAGUUGUUCUUGUCGAAAUCGACAUCGCCCCUGCCGAUGUAUACUCUGAUGACCGGUAAAGGUGGCCAUUCGGUUGGAUUGCUUUCCUCGUCAACAAACCUAACACCAUAAUCUCCAUCAACCAGCAUUUUAUCUAUCAAUUUAUGCGAGUUAAUCACGAAAGUAAGCGUAUAAGUGCGACAUUCAAAUGUUUCUGGUGGAACCCGUUGUCUUGUGGCCAAAUACUUAUCUUUGGCUUCCAAGCUUUGCGGUAGAAACUCAGUGGAAGGUAGAAUCGCCCAUGACUUCCUUUGACAUUCUUCCAAUUCUUUCUUCACCUUUGCCACUUCAGCUACACUGUAACUUAGUUUCUCCCUUGCCACUUCCAGUUCUGCUUCCACCUCUCUCGUUUUCGCAGUUUCAUCGUUCUUCUCCGCUUCCUUCUUCCUUUCGAGAAUAUCUAAUUCCUCUGUUUUCUCCCUCCUCAACUUUCGUAAUUCUUCAUCCAAUCUAAUCUCCAUCUCCUCUUUCACCUUCUCUAACUCUUCAGUCCUUUUCCUUAUCUCCUCAUCCUUCACCUUCUUCAAGUUUAGUAGUUCCUCCUUCAACUUCUCUAGCUCUUCUAUCCUCCUUGUUUUUGCUUCUUCGCUUGCCUUCUUCUUUCUGAAUUUUUGUAAUUCUUCAUCUUUAGCAUUGUUUGCCUCUUCCAAUUCCUCGUUAAGCUUCUCUAGCUCGUCUAUCCUCUUUGUUUUCGCCUCUUCGCCUUCGUUCUUCUUGCUAAGCAUCCGCAAUUCACGAUCCUUCUUUUUUAAUUGCUUCCGGUGCUCAUCAUCCGCCGUCUUUAACUUCUCAUUUGCCUCAUCAAUCUCUUCUUUGAGCUUCUCCAGUUCCUCAUCUUUCUCCUUUACAGACCUUUCCAACUCCCUGUAUUUCUCCUUACUCAUCCCACCACCACCUUUAGCCGGCUGCUUUGAUGUAUCCUCGUGUCUAGGAAGAUAUCGGUAUGUCAACUCGGAUCGGCUCCACACAUUGGUCGUUACAAGAUCGACGCCAUGAUGAGGCCAGCUGAACAUAUCGUUCAGUCGAAGAUAGUGAAUCCCAAAGUCAGAGUACACUCCUCCAAGAUCAAGAACUUGUUGGAAGCAAUACCCUUCCGGACUCACUAACAAGUGUAACUCCUUCAAAUGCUUGGCAAGGAUGGCCAACGCUUCUUCUCCCUCAAUCCUUCCGUAUCCAUCGAAGAAUAGAAGCCCGUCGUAUGACAACACCUUUGCAUCAUCAUCUUCUUCUUCUUUCUCAAGACCGAAAGUAAUGGUGGCGACUUCCUUCCAGUCAGCCUUCUUGAUGGAAGAAAGGUGAUUGGUCGGCUUAGUUAACUGAUAGACUUGGAGGAUUGAUCCAUCAGAGGAACCAACAAAGUGGUUGUUGGAUUUGAAAGCAAACAAAGGCAUUAUUUUUCGUUAGGGAAAGAAUCAGAGGAGUUUUGGCAUCGGUAACCCUAAUUUUUCUGUUCGAUUUCUAACAAAGAGUUUUGGGAAAUGCAUUGAGUUGUGAUUUGUGAAAGGCCAUAUACCUAUUUAAAGGGUUCAUCAUAUAUAGAGAUGCAAUAAUUCAUAUGUUAGUCUUUGUUUAUUGUAUAAUCAUUUAGAAAAUAAUCUCAACAAAUAAAUAAUUCGAGUUAUUGAGAUGCAAUAAUACAUGAUAUGGUAUUAGAGCAUUUAGACAAAAUGAUAGUGUGUUUGAAUCUCCACGACCUCCAAUAUUAACUGUUGUUUUAAGCACAAAAUAUGAUGGAUUUGUAAAAAUUUCAAACUCAUUAAUUAAUUUUUAUUUAAGGAAGCAUAUAAAAAAAUAUAAUUCCUAAACUUUUUUUUAUCUACAACAUUGACUUAGGCUUGGUCUUUGUUAACUAAAUAUCCCAAGAUAUACCAAUAAUUCCAACUUGCUAGCUGGCAGGCAACGUUGACUAAUGUAUUUAAUUUGUACGAUAACAGUAGAAACUAUAUAUGACUAAUUUAGGUUAACCUAGAAAUGCAUUUCAACCUUAUAAGUGUGGAACGCUGCGGAAUUUUGAAUGGGAUUUGGUAUAAUAUUGUACAUUCGUANNNNNNNNNNNNNNNNNNNNNNNNNNNNNNNNNNNNNNNNNNNNNNNNNNNNNNNNNNNNNNNNNNNNNNNNNNNNNNNNNNNNNNNNNNNNNNNNNNNNNNNNNNNNNNNNNNNNNNNNNNNNNNNNNNNNNNNNNNNNNNNNNNNNNNNGUAUAUAAUUUUUGAGGUAUUAAUCCCACACGAUAUCUAUAGCCGUUAGUUAUUGGGCGGUUUUUCAAUUAGACACUACCCAUGUCCUCACAUUAGUUUCAGAUUUGGGUAAGACCUGUCGUAUAUAACCUUUCAGGUAGUAAACAUCACACUUUAUUCACACCCAUUAGUUUUCGGACUGUUUACAGUUAUAUCCGUACCCGUACAUAAAAGUUUUAAAAAUACCAAGACAAUUCGAAUUUUACCUUAUUUGACCAGAUUAAGUUGGUCCAGAGUCACUACGAUUAUCAUCCAACUAUUAAAGUAUAAUUAAACAAAAGGAGAAUUGAAAAAUGAAAAAAUAAAAAAUUAUGUAAAAUAUAACACAAAUAUAAUUUCUUUUUAAAAAUGAAAUAUUUUAUGUAAAGGAAUCCGUAAUUCCAACGAAAAAAAAGGCAAAGGUGUAUAUAACAGAAAUAUACAGCCAACAGUUGCGAUCAGUACUGAACCCUUGUCCGUUGUUGUUGUUCUUCGUCAGACAUUGCGACAUUAGAUUCCACAACCCUGUGAGGAACUGCUUCGAAUUCGAAGCCCAGUGACUUACCGUCAAGAACUUGGGAUGGAAAGCCCAGAAGAGACCAUCAAGGAGAGCUCUUUGGUCAUUCAUUGAUGACAAAUCCGUGUAGAGUACCAAGUGGUUGAUGGCGGUGCAAUCUGUAGCGUAAUCCACUUCGUCUUUGUUGAAUGUAAUCUUAUAUCAGAAAGGACAAGCCAUAUCAGCUCAAACGAAUAACUGAAAGGGUGAACAAUGUGUUUAUGUAUGUACACUUACAUUGGUGAAGUUAAAUACACUGAUGUCGACGGUGUGGGACAGCGGGUUGAAUCUGGAGACGAAGCGUUUCAAUGAUCCAGCAAGCCGUUGGUUGGUUUCGUUCCCGAAAUUGACCAUGCUGAAUUGAACCUCUCAUCGACAAGCAGGGGAGGCGUUGUUGAUCUGACAUUUCGUCAACUUGUCAGGAGGCGAUCCUCGACAGCUGAGGACGAAUUUCACCAGUUCCAGACCAGCAUCCAGUUCAAUCUCCUCCAUCCUAGAUGAUAUUUGUAGCUCGAAUUCCUCAAGCUUUGCGAUCGAAAAUUUCAGCUUCUUACUCUGGUCGAGUUGGUCGAGUUGGUCUAGUUUACCCAGGGUUAGGGAUUUCAGAGAUGGUAGCUUGGAAACAAUCGUGUGAAGUUCAUCCAGAGUCGAUGGAGAAUCCACGAGCUCCAAAUGUUUCAGCAGAGGGGCAUUAAUAUAUAACCGUUGAUGGCCACUUCCAGGUCCCGAAGAAUCAGAGUCUGGAGUUUGGGCGCUGCAAUCUCAACUUCGGAGACGUGGGAAGAACAAGCUUCCAGCCUCUUCAGGUUGGUAAGAUUCGAAAGCUGGAACUUCUUCAAUGGGUUAAUAUCUCUGAAUUCUAGGGUUUCCAGGAAAGGAGCGGUACCUAUCAUAUCCAUGAAGAGUUGCCCGUCGUUCUUGAAUUCGACAUCAUCCAGGUAUAGGAAUCGUAGAGAACUCAGAGAAAGUGGAAAAUCACAGUACUCGCUAUAGGCAAACACGAUUCCCGUCAGCCUAAGAACCGUCGCCGCGGAGUCGGAGAGCGUCCUGAACGGCAGUUCGAGGUAGGCCUUCGCGACGUGGAUGUGGAUUUCUUCUGCUUUCCUAUGAGGCCAAAAUCAGUAGGAGCUCGAGAGCACGGGAGCGGUAGACACAAUCUUCGUUACCUAUGAGAGAAAUCCUGAGAGUUUCCAUGCGGAAUCGGCUGUCUCUGCAAAACCUAUCAAUGGUUGACUCGCAGAAUUUCUUGAGAUCUUGCAUCACUAUGGAAGCGCCGGCGACAGACUCCCCGCGUCGGCGGCGACAAUCCGUGGUCGAACGCCACGACUGGGUACGACCUCCAAACAGUUCGCCAUCGUCUGGAGAGGGCGACAGUUCCGGUUGCUUGUUUCGGGGACUCUAAGAGGCGGAGUAUGUUGCGGAGGACUUCCUCCGGCAGCUCUGAGAUUCGAUCUUUGGUCGAUUUCUUUCGCUUCUUCGCCAUUGAUAACUGCAGGCAGGCUAGGGCUUUCAGCUUUUACGCCUGUUUCACUGUUUGGCUAAAAGUUUAAACUUUAAAAGGACUUUUCAAAAUUCAAAAAUUCAAAUACUGACUGGACCGUUGACCGGUUUGUUUGGAGGUGCUAUUUGCUCAUUCCCGCCAGCCGCCGCUCUCCGUUGUCUGAACACUGAAAGCAAGAAUCAGCCAUUAAUGGAUCUCCACAAUCCAGAACUCUCCUCUUCACUCGCGACAUCAUAUGCCAAUCUCCUCCGAAUGAGCCAGAAAUCCAACAGCUUGAUCUUGGGAAAGUCUGUUCACGCCCAUAUCGUCAAACACGGACUCACAUUCAGCGUCUAUCUAAUGAACAAUCUCAUCAACUUGUACGCGAAAACGGGGUCCAUGACCGACGCCCGCAUAGUGUUCGAUAGAAUGCCCGAGAAGACCAACUUCACGUGGAACGGCAUUCUCUCCGGCUACGCCAGAAUCGGGGCAGUCGAGGAAGCCCGUCACCUGUUCGACGAAAUUCCUGAACGGGAUUCCGUGUCAUGGACCACUAUGAUCACCGGUUACAAUCGAAAGGGUAAGUUUGAAAAUGCGAUAGAGAUGUUUGCUGAGAUGGUUAGAGGCGAAGUCUUCCCGUCCCAGUUCACUCUAACGAAUGUACUUGCUUCCUGUGCUGCUACUGGUUCUUUGAGCGUUGGGAAGAAGGUUCAUUCGUUUGUUGUUAAAUUAGGAUUCUGUGGAUGUGUGCCGGUGGCGAACUCGCUUCUUAAUAUGUACGCGAAAGGGAAAGAUUUGGCUAUGGCCGAGGUUGUGUUCGGUAGGAUGAGGUUAAAGGAUAUAUCAAGCUGGAAUACGCUUGUCACGUCGCUUUUACAGAACGGUAAGGUUGAUCUUGCCGUUGAAUUGUUUCAUCAGAUGAGCGAACGUGAUAUAAUCACUUGGAACUCGAUGAUAUCCGGGUUUAACCAGCUUGGUUUUGAUGAACAAGCACUGAGAUUCUUCUCUGACAUGAUGAAGGAUUCUUCUUUGUUGCCCAACAGGUUCACACUGGGAAGUGCUCUAUCCGCUUGUGCCAACACAGAGAAUAUGAACUUUGGGAAGCAAAUCCAUUCAUAUAUCAUCAGAACAAAGUUCGAUACUUCUGGUGCUGUCGGAAAUGCUUUGGUCUCGAUGUACGCGAAAUCCGGAGGACUUGAUAUUGCACAAAGGGUCAUAGACCUCAGAGGUAUUGAUGAUCUCAAUGUUAUAGCCUUCACUGCCUUGUUAGAUGGCUAUGUCAAGAUCGGGAAUAUCGCCCCGGCUAGAAAGAUUUUCGACUCGUUGAAUGAGACCGAUGUGGUAGCCUGGACAGCCAUGAUCGUGGGUUACCUGCAAAACGGGUUCGAUCAUGCUGCUAUGGAGCUUUUCAGGAAAAUGGUUCGAGAAGGACCGAAACCGAACAGUCAUACUCUAUCAGCAAUGUUGAGCGUCUGUUCAAACGUGGCUUCGUUAAACCUAGGUAAACAAAUUCACGCAAGUGCAUUGAGAUCCAUGACAAGUCUAUCUUCAUCGGUCGGGAGUGGAAUCAUUACGAUGUAUUCGAGAUCAGGAAGCAUUAGGGAUGCACAGAGAGUGUUCUUCAGACACAUGAGAUGGAGCAGAGAUACAACUACAUGGACUUCCAUGAUCAUAGCAUUAGCUCAACAUGGUCUCGGUGAAGAAUCCAUCAAACUGUUUGAUGAAAUGAUGUCGCUGUCUAUCAAGCCUGACCAUAUAACUUAUGUUGGCGUACUGUCCGCUUGUACACAUAUCGGACUUGUCGAAAAAGGAAGAUCAUACUUCAAGCUACUGAAAGAUGUUCACAAAAUCGAGCCGACUCUGAGCCAUUACGCUUGUAUGGUCGAUUUGUUGGGACGUGCUGGGUUGGUAGAAGAAGCGUACGGUUUCGUCAUGGAUAUGCCGAUCGAUCCUGAUGUUAUUAUAUGGGGUUCGCUCCUCUCGUCGUGUAAAGUUCAUAAGAACGUCGAGCUGGCGAAAGAAGCUGCUGAGAAGCUGCUACUGAUUCAACCCGACAACAGCGGUGCAUACUCUUCGCUCGCGAAUCUAUACUCAGCCUGUGGGAAAUGGGCCGAUGCUGCCGAGAUAAGGAAGUUGAUGAAGGAUAGAGGAGUAAAGAAAGAGCAAGGGUCUAGCUGGGUUCAGAUUAAGAACAGAGUUCAUGUGUUUGGAGCUGAAGAUGGGGUGCAUCCUGAGAGAGAGGAGAUAUAUAAGAAGAUGGAUGAGAUAUGGGACGAGAUAAAGAGAAUGGGGUUCGUACCAGAUUCUGCAUCAGUACUGCAUGAUCUUGAGAUGGAGGUUAAGGAUCGGAUUCUAAGGUAUCACAGUGAGAAGCUUGCUAUUGCAUUUGGACUGAUAAGUACUCCGGAGAAGACGACUCUCAGGAUAAUGAAGAAUCUCAGAAUCUGUAACGACUGUCACACUGCUGUGAAGUAUAUCUCCAAGCUUGUGAGUAGGGAGAUUGUUGUUAGAGAUGCUACUCGCUUCCACCAUUUCAGAGAUGGUUCCUGUUCUUGUAAGGACUACUGGUAAGAAUCAGCAAUCGCCAGUCUCAGUUCUCGAGACUUUUGAGAUGAGAAGGCUAAACCAUGGGCUUGUGAAAAGCACCGAUUGCGGGCAUGUAGGGCGGGCUACCCAAAGGAAUAUUGUAUCCUUUUUAUUUAAACCCGGGACCAGGGGACGGGGUUUGGGUACUAAUAUCCGUGCGAGUGUGGGAUUUGGCCAACAUCAUCAUAUUCUUCUACUCGAUAGAUAUCUGCUAUCCGAUCGGUUAUUCUCGACGGGUAUCCAAAAUAUCUAUUCUUAACAAAACUUUAUUACUUGAACUCGAAGACAAAGUAAGAGAAGAGAGAACAAGUUCAACGACAAAAAAAUUGCCGAUGGUAACAAACUAACGGAGUUUUUAUUUGAAGAAGGAAAAGUGGUGGGUGGCGAGCCUUUGGAGAACAUACGUGAGAGCGAGCAAUGAUGUCUAACCGAUGAAGAAGAAAUUGGUUUGAACAAUAAGAGUUUUCUUUAUAUGGGAUGAUUGACAAGUAAUUUUGACGAACAAAUUGGGUAUGAUACGAGAGGAGGAGAGUAGGUUUGGAAUUCAAGUGAAAAAGGGUUUUAAGAUUUUCAGGACAAUUUUGAAUUAUUGAUCUUAUAGAUUUUAGAUUUAACGGUAUAUAUAAAAAGAGUAAGAAAGUUUUUUAAACAAAAAUUAUUUAAUUUAUUGUUCUUUUCGGUUUGAGUUUGGGUUUAGUGUUUGUGUUUUGGGUUUAGUAUUAGGAUUUUGGUUUCGAUUUUUGAUUUCGGAUUUUAAAAUUUAGGGUCUAGAGUAUUGGUUUUCAAUUUUGGAUUUUAGAUUUUUCAGUUUCGAAUUUUAAUUGACCGAAUAAUGAACAAAUAUCAGAUGAAAACAUAUAUUUUAGGACGAUCCAACAGUUGAGCCCCUCCCNNNNNNNNNNNNNNNNNNNNNNNNNNNNNNNNNNNNNNNNNNNNNNNNNNNNNNNNNNNNNNNNNNNNNNNNNNNNNNNNNNNNNNNNNNNNNNNNNNNNNNNNNNNNNNNNNNNNNNNNNNNNNNNNNNNNNNNNNNNNNNNNNNNNNNNNNNNNNNNNNNNNNNNNNNNNNNNNNNNNNNNNNNNNNNNNNNNNNNNNNNNNNNNNNNNNNNNNNNNNNNNNNNNNNNNNNNNNNNNNNNNNNNNNNNNNNNNNNNNNNNNNNNNNNNNNNNNNNNNNNNNNNNNNNNNNNNNNNNNNNNNNNNNNNNNNNNNNNNNNNNNNNNNNNNNNNNNNNNNNNNNNNNNNNNNNUUUGUGUUUUGUGUUUAGUAUUAGGAUUUUGGUUUCGAUUUUUGAUUUUGAAUUUUAAAUUUUGAGUUUUAAAUUUUUUAUUUUAAAUUUUUGAUUUUGAGUUUUCCAUUUGGAUUAUCAGAAAUACCGAAAAUGUCAAAAAUUUGAAAAUAAAUAAAAAAUAUUUCUAAAAUAUCUAAAAUGCCUCACGGUUGGAAAUCCUGAAACUUUUUUGUCUGGAUUUAAAACGGAUCCCGAUAGAAUUUUGAGUAUAAUGGUUAUUCAUUUUUCAUCUUUAAUAAAUUUUUGGGUAUUUAUUCGGUUGGAAAUGCAACACGGAUAAAUUCGAAUUCAAAAUGUCUAUGAAACAGAAUAGAAGACCCAUAUCGGUCGAGGUAGCCAACCGAAACCGAACUGGGAAAUGCCAGUCCGGUUGGGUAAGUUGCGGGAGCCUGGAUGGAUCAAAACUGGUCAACGGUCUUAAUGUCUGACUCUUCAGACGGUCUGACCGACAACCUCGUUGAAAUUUCAUUUCCCCUACUUUCCCGGGACUUCUAAUUUUACCUUUCUCCAAAAAAAAAACAACUCUGCGCAGAAUUCUCAAUUCUCAUCCGCUCAUUCUCUCUUCUUCCAUCGGAAUCCUUCAGCUGCCUCCCUACGCCAUUUCCCCCCCGUCCAUUUGUUAGCAGUAUAGUUCCUUCCUCCCACUCUUCGCUUACGCUCUCUUCAUUCAUCAGCUUCCUCGACCAAGGUAAAUCGAGCUCUCAGCUCCGAUCCGCAGUUUUACGGUUGUGAGAUCCGCUUUUGCGAUUAGAUUUAUUUUCUACUGCUGAUGUGUUGUUUCUUGUUUGAAUGAAUGAAACGAAACAAUGGCGUGUUUGUUUCUUGGUGUUUCAGGUUUUUCGUUUUAGCUGAGCCAUGGUGCUGUUCAGAUGCCUUUCUCGCCUUUCCACUCUCCGUUCUCGCACUGUACGUUUCCGAUUUCUUUCGUUUCCCGCCGAUCUUGUUUCUGCUGUGUUGUUUUUUUUUCCUCUCUUCAGCUGGUUUCUGAUUUGCUUGAUUCCUCUGCUAUGUCUACCAGGUUCAACAGCCUAAUAAUCUCGGCGGUUCCUUUAGAUGGCUCCAAAUGCAGGCCUCCACGGAUCUUGUACUUAUGCUCUUUCCUUUGCUUAUUUACUGUAUGGAAUUAUUUGCGUCUUGUUCUCUCUCAAUUGUGAACUCGCUUGGUUCUUGCUUAAGCCUCAAUGUAUCUUUCCUUUAUAACUCUAUGUAUGAUGGCUGAAUAGUUAAUGAUGGUAAAUGUAAAUAAUCAGUUAUAUAAUACUGAUGAAUUGGUGUAAAACCUUAAUACAGUCACACCAGGUUGGUUAUCUGAGCUCAAACGCUGGAUACUGUUUGCGUGCAUUAUGUAUCUGAGCUCUGCAUGUUUAGCGUAUUUGUCUCCUUUUUAAGUGAUUUAGCUAUUUCAAAUUUACUUCCGUGUUUUGGGUUUUCUGUUUGACGUGUUACUUUCUUAUGGAACUGUAGGAUCUACAUUCCCAGUUAAAGGAGUUAAUCCCAGAACAACAGGUUUGUUUCAGCUAGAAUAAAUCAACCUGAAUUGAUAUAUUUCCUUCAUCCUUUUUGUUCUAAUUGUGAAAGUAAAUUGUUGGGGUUUUGCAGGAACGCCUUAAGAAGAUUAGGACAGACUAUGGAAAAGUUGAACUGGGGAACAUCACCACUGACAUGGUAAGGGCACUGUAACUUUCUCGCGUUGGGUUAUGGAGCUUUUAUGCUGUUUGAUUAUUCUUACAGUUGUUGUUCAAAUGAUCAAUUUGCCCUUUUUAAAAGUUUAUUCUUUACAGUUUCUUGAGUUCUGAAUGUAAUGUUCUCUUGUGUAUCCAAUUUUGAAGGUAAUUGGUGGAAUGAGAGGAAUGAUUGGAUUGCUAUGGGAGACCUCUCUGCUUGAUCCCGAAGAGGUAAAGUUGUGUCCAUGUGAAAUUGAGGAUGCUACUGUUUUCGUGUAGUGUAUUUUAUUGCUCCAUGUUAUUCGAGGCCAGUAUGCAAGCAUAUUCGCUGCCUUCCUCUGUUGAUGUCUUAAUUUUAUUCAGGGAAUUCGGUUCAGAGGCCUUUCAAUCCCUGAAUGUCAAAAGAUGCUGCCAGGUGCAUCGCCUGAUGGAGAACCAUUGCCUGAGGGUCUUCUCUGGCUUCUUCUAACCGGAAAGGUAAAUUAUGUUUGUGACAGAAAACAAGUUACUUCUUGAUUUGAUGUAAUCAUUUAUUUCUGUACCAUAACUGAAUCAUUUUGCAUCUUUUCGUCCUAUUUAUUCAAGGUUCCAAGCAAGGAGCAAGUUCAUGCCUUAUCAAAGGAAUUGCGUGACCGUGCUAAAGUUCCAGGUCACUUUUUGUACCAUUUUUCAUUCAUUUUAUUUUGUGUGUGCCUUAUAUUUCUUUUUUCAUGUUAGCAUUAGACAUUUUCGCACAAGUGUAGUUGCUACAAUAUUCUCAUUACUGCUUAUGAUUUUUUUUUAAAUGUUUGGUUCUCUUCUGAUGGUUAUAUUCUGCAUAUUCUGUAGUCCUUUAUGCUGACUUAGCUAAGUAUCAUACAUAUUUUAGGGAAAAACAAAUAUAGUACAUUCAUUCUCUCAUGUCAUAGAUAAUUUCUGAACCACCUGCCAUCAAUGAAGUUCUACAUUCUGUAACUUUUGAAUAGAUUUCGAUUUGUAUUUACCUCUUGCUUGUGAUACUUACAGAUUACGCAUUUAAGGCCAUUGAUGCUCUCCCUGUCUCAGCCCACCCAAUGACUCAGUUUGCAACUGGUGUUAUGGCACUUCAGGUAUGUUUCUUUCAAACUUAUCAGCUCCUCUUCUUUAUUAUUUCAUGCUUGUUUUUCUAUCUAUCUGCUUGAACAGUAGUUCAGCAGCUGGUAUUUCCCUAAGUAAUGAAAGUUAAAACGUCAUAUGAGCUGAUGGGAGUUGUGCAAUAAGAAUUUGUGGAAGAUGGAAUUCUUCAUUGAUAGAAAAUCAGUGUAAGAGAUCCCCGUGGCGAGUGUGUAUUCUGUGGGAGAUAUGAAAUAGGAGAAACUUAAGUUAGUAGGGGUAACCGAAGCCAGUUUUCAAUUGAUAAUGGCAACUUCGUUUUGUAAUGUUAAGCUUUCUGUUCUUUUAUCAGUCUUCAGGAUCAUUAAACUUUAUGAAAUUCUAUUAAUUUAAAGCGACACGUGUGCAAAUAAUAAUAGAGGAUGAUGAAUCGUGACCUUCGGGUGUAUUUGACAUUCCUGUGUGUUGCAGGUUCAAAGUGAGUUUCAGAAAGCAUAUGACCAGGGUAUUCACAAAUCAAAGUAAGGCAUCUUUCUCGAAAUGUUAUUUUCUCCCCAAAAUCCAUUAUAUUUCGAAGCCCUCAUUUUUACACGGUAAUAUUUUCAGGUACUGGGAGCCAACCUAUGAAGAUUCGCUUAAUCUGAUUGCUCGUUUGCCAGCAGUAGCUUCAUAUGUUUACCGAAGGUCUAUGAGCUUUACUACCUUCUUUAUAGUUUCACAUUAAGCAAAGCGUACAUAACAUUAUAUGAGGAUAAUGGUACUUCUUUUAUGUAGAAUGCUACAGAUAAAUUUAUUUCUGCAUUUGCCUUUCCGUUUGCUAAUUUGGACUAUUGCUUAACGUCUUACUCUACCUCUUGCCGUACCUUGUUAUGUGCAACUAGUCUGACUUUUCAUAACUUAAUUGUGGUUUUGCAGGAUAUUCAAGGAUGGAAAGAUUAUACCAGCAGAUGAUUCUCUUGAUUAUGGCGCAAAUUUCUCGCACAUGUUGGGUUUCAGUGAUCCCAAAAUGCAUGAGCUUAUGAGGCUCUAUGUAACAAUCCAUAGGUCUGAUUCCUAGCCAUUUUAAUAAUAUCUUAUUAGAGUCAAUACAUGCGAGCUCAUGUGAUUAUUCUCUGCUACCUUAUACUUGACAGUGACCAUGAAGGCGGUAAUGUUUUUUGCCACAACGGCCAUCUUGGUAGUUUAUGGGUUUUAAAAAAAAUUACGUAAAUCUUUUUAUCUUUUUUUUUAGCUGGACCACUUCACGGCCUGGCUAAUCAGGUAAGCUCUAUUACAUCAUUCUAUCUAAAUUCCUCAAAACUGCUUCUGGCCAAAUAAAUAGCCAACAAGCAUGGCAAUACAAUCUGGCCAUCGUCUUUCUUAAUUAGCUGACAACCCCUUAUCUCUUUUAUUUCCCUGCCGUGCUUGUCUGUCUUACUAAAACUAGUAAUAAAUUCCUGGCCAUGGCAGGAAGUUUUGCUAUGGAUCAAAUCUGUGGUGGAGGAAUGUGGGGAAAACAUAAGUACUGAGCAAUUGAAAGACUACGUAUGGAAGACAUUGAACAGUGGAAAGGUACAUUUUAUGCUUCUUUGAUACCACUACUAGAGCUGUAGAGCAAACAUGAACACUUACUGAUUCUAUUCAGAGCGAUCUUCGUAUUACGAUACUAGUUAUGUUUCUCCAAUCCUUAGCCUUCUUCGCAUGUCACUGUCAUUCAAUAAUUUGGCUUCUUGCAAUCCAACAAAAUUUGCAGGUCGUUCCAGGAUUCGGACACGGAGUCCUGCGAAAUACCGAUCCAAGAUACACAUGCCAGAGAGAGUUCGCAUUGAAGCAUUUACCGGAGGACCCACUCUUCCAGCUGGUUUGCCACCCUUCCUUCAUUGUCAAUGCCUUUGCAUUACUUCCAACUUGAACUAACUCAUUUACGAACCUUACCAGGUUUCUAAGCUCUACGACGUCGUGCCACCAAUCCUUACUGAGUUGGGGAAGGUAAGUACUUGAUCUAUCAAAUUUUAAUCAGAAAUAUAAAACUAGACUGUGCUAUUACUACUAUAUCUUUGAUUAAUUCCCUUUGCCUUUAUCUACUUGUAGGUUAAGAACCCCUGGCCCAAUGUUGAUGCCCACAGUGGAGUGCUGUUGAACUACUACGGUCUAACAGAAGCCAGGUAACAAACUUAUAAACUCAGUUACUUGUAGGAUUCAGAAUUUCGACUUGAACAUGAAUCUUGGAGCAUCAUCCUUCACCGCUUUCCCGAUGCAUCUUAUAUUAAUCCCUACAUUUGAUUCGAUAAAGUUAUGCUUUACCAUCUGAUGAAGCGUGUAUUCAACGUGAGUCCCUGAUUCGUCACAGUUCGAGUUGUUAGUUUUCUUGUGUAACUUUUUCUUGCAAGAAUCACAUCAUGCUGGUAACUUUCCCUGCAUCACGCAUAAUGAGUGAUGACUUGUUCGUGCCUAGUAUUAAAUUUUACCAAACUCUACUCGCCAAUUGGCGAAUGCCUAACCAUUGUGAAAUUCAUUUCUGUCAAUAGGUAUUACACCGUUCUAUUUGGCGUCUCGAGGAGCAUCGGAAUCUGCUCUCAGGUUCACACUUCCCCUACACUCCUCCUUUUUGCUUUGAUAUAGCUUCAGUACUUCCCUUCGAUACUAGUGUUUGAAGUCGGUCUUGAUAGUGAUGUUCUGUCUCUCGUCCGCUGCAGCUGAUAUGGGACCGAGCUCUCGGGUUGCCACUCGAGAGGCCGAAAAGUGUCACCAUGGAUUGGCUCGAAAGCCGCUGCAGGAAAGCAUGAUCACCCUGAUCCUCAAUGCUCACACUGACUAAUCGGAGUCAAAUGAUACAUAUACAAAACACGAUUCACAGGACUUUUGUUUGGUUGUUUCUUCGAGUUUCAUUCACAUCGUUUUCGGACCAACUCGAGGCGUCUGUGUAUACCACAGCCAAUAAUGUGUUAUUUUUUUGAUGAUGUUGAAGCGUAACUCAGCAGCCCUUUUGAAUAAAGAAAUCUUAGGUAGUUUCCAUUUUCCACUCUACAACUUGUUCCACCCUUUUUACAACGGUAAUGGGCAAUGGUACCAUGUACCAAAAAUGUCGUCUGUGUGAUCGAAUAAUAUAGCCGGCUCGAUCAAGAUAUAUUGCAGUAUGUCGAGUAGUUUGGCCUUUUAUUCAUCAAAUAUCACAUUAAAUUAACUUGUUAGUCAAUACUGCACAUCACCAUAUAGAGAUGUCGCAAAGACCAACAUGACACAGCUGACCUCAUAUGAAUUUACCACUACUUGGUACUAACAUUAGCGAUCCACUCAACGUACCACAACUCAUUUAUUUUUUUCCUAUCUCGUGUUUUUAUUUCGGAGCAAAACUAAAACUGCUUAAGCUAGUCGAUUCUGCUUUUUGGAUCUUCUUCAAUUUUUCGGUUUCAACUUGGAUUUUUGUUCUAUUUUUCGAUUAGGAUUUUGUUUUCUACCCUUCGUUAGGGUUUUAUUUUUACCCUUCGAUUAGGGUUUUUCACCGUUCCAAUCUUCAUACCGUUGUCGAGAAGCUGUCGAGCCCUUCGUCCAACCCCGAUGCUGCUUAUGCUAACCUGACCGGCCGCAAACUACCUCGAGGCUGCGAGGAGCUACAAACACUAUUGUUUCGAGGAAAUUAUGGCGUAGCGAGCUACAUCCGGGGUGGCGCAAUUAGCUGUUGACUGGAGCCGGUCGAAGAGAGCCUUGUGAGUUGGAAAUUGGCUUCUAGCCAAAUCUCCGAAGAAGGAUGGUAUCCCCAAUUUCGAACACCUUGUGAGUCUGUAGGAGGUAGCUCGCCAAUGCGCGUAAUCCCACAAGUUUUUUGGAUGGAGUUCCGGUCGCUCCAUCAGCAGGUGUUCACAGGACCGGCUACCCCUUUUUGUUUUCGUAUGUUAGCUUACGGAUUUCAGUGUUUUUGUUUUUGUUACAUUGGUCGGGAUAGACUAAAGUAGGUGUAUGAAUCUGAUUUGACCGAUAUGAUCGUGGCUUUAAUAUGAAUGUUAAGAGUAUAAAAAUAUGAUAUAUGAAGCUUUAUAGAUUUUUUUUUUCUCCCUUGUUACCCAGAUAUGGAUGACGUAACUCAAACCCUAAAUUUAUACAAUUUUGCUAUAUCCUAUCAAGAAGUUUUGGCAUGAUUAAAAAAACACUUCUUAAGCUUCUGCACAAACUGCAUUUUUGGCAUUUUUAAUAAAACGACAGCGUUUGGAAGGCGAGUAAAAAAAAAAGAGAAAUCCAACGCACUGAAGAGACAACGAAAGACUCUUGAGAGUAAAGAGAACCGAAUAAACCAAAAGCUUACUCACAGACCCGCAGAGCUCCAAAAGCUUCAUCGCCAUUACCACAUAGAGAGACACAGAGAUAAAGACUAAAGCUUCUUCCCUCUUUAUCAUUUCUUUCCUCGCCAUGGGAACACCAUCUGUCUCUACUUGAAGUGCCGUAUUUGUAAACUCCCUUGGAUCAUUUCAUUUCUUCUUCAAUUCCCAUAUGGCUGAUCAUGCUGACUCGUCGCCGCUCGUCCCUCCUACGCUGAUCACCAGUGAAGACUCCGAGAUCGACCUCGAGGCCGGCCCCGGAGACCAAAUUCAAUGCCGAAUUUGCCUCGAAACUGACGGUAGGGACUUCCUUCCCUUACUUCCUUCUGCCGUUCCCCGCUACACUGUGACCUAACUAACUAAUUUAAGCAAUUCUCCCUCGGUUAGUCGCUAAUCUGCUAGCCGUUUCUUCGUUUCCCUACUGUGUGUGUUUUUGUUGCCUGGGAAAUCCGCGAGUCAGUAGGAGUGGGGAAGUAAUUGAUUCUUUGGUGUUGGAAAUGAGGGUUUACAAUUUUAAUUUUUUUUGCUUAUUUAGGAUCAAGGUUGAAUAAAACAAAAGUUCUAAUAGAUUAUUCAUUUAUAAGCCACUGAUGAUAACUUGUGUUAAGGUUGAUGAUCGUGGAAGUAACGGAAGUCUUUAUCACCUGGGAAUACACUGAUGGAUUUUGCUGCUUGCUGAUCUUCUAAGGAAGAUAGGAGAUUUGGUUCAAGAACAUUGUUUUAUGUGCAUGCAACUCAUUACUCUCUCUAUAUGUCUUGACAGGGAGGGAUUUCAUUGCACCUUGCAAAUGCAAAGGCACAUCCAAGUAUGUACAUAGAGAAUGUUUGGAUCAUUGGCGAGCUGUGAGGGUAGAUCUCUCUCUUUCUCUCUGUUCUUAAGACUCUAAGAUUGUGGGAGUAUGUAAAUGAUUAUUGGUUUAGGCUGUCAGCUAAAGGCUAUGUUAGUAACGCUGUUGUUAUUCAUGGUUAUGAUUCAAAGUGACACUAGACCUACCUACUUCAAAACAAAAUAGAUAAUGGCAUAACAAAAGAGUCUUGCGAAAUCUAUUAGGAAACGGUAUACAUUACAAAGAAGUUUAAUAAUUUUGUUAAGUAUGUACUACAUGAUCGGUAUAUGAUGAAAAUCUCCCCUUAACCUGCCCCUGGUUUAACUGUCAUAAUCUUCUGUAUUGAUGCAGUGUUCUGCAUUUUGCUAUAGUGUUUGCAUGGAUAAAGCAUGAGAUGGGUCUCGUCUACUUGGAAGGAAUGAUACUCAGUUUACUUGGGACUUGGUCUUUAAUCUGAAUUGAUUUUUCAGGAAGGCUUUGCAUUUGCACAUUGCACAACUUGCAAGGCACCUUACCAUCUGAGAGUUCAUGCUGCAGCAGAUAGGAAAUGGAGAACGAUGAAGUUUAGGUUCUUUGUGACAAGGGACAUUGCUUUUAUAUUUCUGACGGUUCAACUUGUAUGUUUUUCUCUGUGAUCUAUCUCUUUCUACACCUGACAUAGUUGUGAAUGUGUGCUUUGGUUUAUGAUAUACUUUUGUUCGUUACUUUGUAUAUUUAAAAUAUUUUAUGUCUUUGCAGGUCAUUGCCUCAUUGGCAUAUUUGUUUUAUGUAGUCGAUGCCUAUCAGCAGUCAUGGAUACGUCGUACAUGGGGAUUCGAGAAUGGAAUUAGUUUCUACUAUAUAUGUGGUAUAAUCUUAAUAGCUAACCUUUUGUUCCAACUGCAUCCUCUUUACAUAAUAUUAUUAACAGGGUCAAUCAAUGUAAAAUUCGUAGCAUCUGCAUGUGGAAUCAUAUAAAACUGUAAAGACAUGUUCUUUUCUCAGCUUACACUGAUUGCACAAUUCGAUUGGACAGGAGCAUUGCUGUUUUUCGCCUUGCUGGGUCUAUCAGGGUGCUUCAUCACUUGCUAUGACCGCAGAGUUCGCAAUGAUUUGGCUCAACCUUGUAGAGAGUUGUGUCUUUGCUGUUGUCAUCCCGGGUAUGUAUAUGCUGUUCUUGUUCACUAUGGCACAUAUAAGUCAUGACUGCCCUUAAUAUAUGUUUCCAAGUCUGAUCUGUGCUUUAGGGAAGAACAUUGAGUGGGUAUCAUAUUUAUGAUGUCUAGUUACUGGAUGCUUAGAGAAGGUCUAGAUAGUAAUUAUGGUUAUCUCCAAUUGAAUUGAAACGGCACUGUUAAUCAUCACUUAUAGUUGCAAUGCUGUACCUUUAAUUCGGAAACACGAAUGCAGAACAAGUAUAAUUGGGAUGUAUGAAACUAGUGAAGAAAGAAGCUAAUCAUAAUGCAUUUUCCUGGAAUGCUAUUGCUUGAAUGCUAGCUAAACCGAGCAAUAAUCUUAACCCAAUUGCCAUUCUGCCUUCUUCCACACUUGAAACGUUGUUUUCUCUUAUUAUUGCAGAAUGUGUGCCGACUGCCAUUUGCCUGGAACUCUUUGUAUGUGGACUGACUGCACCACAUGCUUUGAAGGCUGUGCUAGUGCAGCUGGAGAAUGUGGUUGCUUAGGAGGUGCGGGUGAAGCAGGGUUACCUUUACUCUUCAUUAUGGCUUUGAUAGUACUCGGACUAUUCACCGUGAUCGGCAUAUUCUAUAGCGUGUUGGUCGCCACGAUGGUAGGGCAACGAAUUUGGCAGCGCCAUUAUCACAUACUCGCCAAACGGAUGCUGACCAAGGUAACGGCUUUGCAUGCCUCUCCUCAAUUAUUCGCAAAUUUGCGUAAAACACACUCAAUUGUUUAUCGUCAAUUAUACUGGUUUAGGAGUACGUUGUCGAGGAUGUUGAUGGAGAGAUGACCGAAUCGGAUUGGACACCGCCGGCCCUUCCACCAGAGCAUGUCCAGCAGCUGAAGAAUCUUGGCCUCCUAUAAGCGUUGAUGAACUCAACAACCGAUGACUGUGUGGAUGAAUUGGCCGUUUUGAUAGGUCAGUCGCUACCGUUAAAGAAGAAGAAACCACCAACAGUCCUUUGAUGUUGUGAAAUAGAAACAUCAACCUGAGACGCUGACUUAACGAAGACAGGCAUCUAUUCGUAUCUGUAACCCGUGAAAACUUGGUGAAAUGGAUCGAAAAUCAGAAUGGUUUUGCACACUUAGUAGUUUGUAUAUCAUAUGCUUGCUUAUACCCUUAUCUGGAAGCUAAAAUGCAUCAAGUUCUCAAGUUCUUUGCUGUACUGUUCUACUGCGACUGGGGACAAAACUUUGCAAUUCUGUUCUGCUGAGUGAAAAAAAAAACAACGCCCACCGUGGGGCUCGAACCCACGACCACAAGGUUAAGAGCCUUGCGCUCUACCAACUGAGCUAGACGGGCUUUGAUGUUUGGAGAGCACUGUAAUUUUAUAGAGAAACAAUAUGUACGCGAGCUCACAUAAAAAUGAUGGCUCGAACCUUGUUGUUGCUUCCUACCGGCACCUGGACCAAGAAACAGACUCUUAGAAUCUUAUCCGGUGGGAGUAAAACUACAAUAAUCCUACAAAACGAUGGCGCUAUUUGGCCGCCCGCCGGUCAGAAGAUGGCUUCUGAUGGAUCACAUCACCUAGUACGAUAGCAGUCGUGCUGAUGGAAUAUAAUGUAGCUUCCAACCACAAUCGUUGAAGUAAUCAAAAAUUACAAGAUUGUCUCCUCCGACAAAAUCAAUAAAUAAGUUAUCUUCUGUCCGUAAAUGGAGGAUGCAAAAUUUUAAAAGUUGAUGGAAACAUUUUUUUGCUGUAACUAUAGGUGGAUAUGUAGGAUUGGAUGCAUCUAACCCGUGUGUUUUAUUAUUGUCGGUUUGUACAUAUUGAAAUAUAUGAUAAAAUUAUUUGGUUCUUAUGAAAUUGUGUAUGGUCGAAGUUAACAAAACACAAUUCACGUAACAACGGUUCAACACGCACAAAUAAGUCAUUGAGUCUGUAUACUGACGAAUCAUAUACUCCGAUUAAUUUUCAAGUAAGCUCUGAAACCCAAACUAACAAAAUUAUAAACAAGCAUUACCCAAACCAAAAUAUCAAGUUGAUAACGAACGACUUGACUCGUCGACCACCGUCCAAUCAAAUCUUCCUUCAUUUUCUCCAUACACAAAUAACAAAUUAGCUUUGGUUAAUCCUAACCUAUGAACAAAAUCCCAAAACUAAACUAAAUACAAAAGAAAAAAACCAAAAAAAAAAAGAAGAACAGUUAAGGUUUAUUAAUUUAGUAUUGCGUAGAUAAUUCAUGAUCGCCGCGCAAGGAAGCCAACAAAAGAAAGAGCUGUUGCUGGCCCCACUCCAAGCUGUCAUCCCCCGUGGUCCCCACCACACCACCACCCAACCGCCGAUGAUCCACUCUUCCCGGCGACGAGAGUCCGCUCCGGCAAAGCGGACACGUCACAACAAAAUUACUCAUCCCUUUCCGCUUAUUCGCCAGCUCCUGGUCAAACCAUCGGUCCACGCAGUCCACGUGGAAAGUGUGGUCGCAACCCAGCUUCCUCACAGCGUCGCCUUUGGAGAACUCGCGGAGGCACACCGAGCACUCUUCCUCCGGCCGGCGGAGGCUGUCGUCGUCGUCGCAGUAGAAAUGGGUCGGUGGGUACUUUUCAUUUACGAAGUCGAGUAGUGGGUUGGUGGUUGCUUGGCCGGAAGAGGACGUAAGUGAGACGGAGGAGGAGGAGGAGGAGCGGAAGAGGAUGGCAAGGCGGAGGAUGAAGAGUUUGAUGAAGAAUUUGGCGACGGUGUAUAGAUCGGCGACAAGGGUAGGUGUUGCGAUGAGCGCCAUAUAGAGAAGAGAUGAAGGAAUAUAAUGGUAGCUAGGGAGAAAUAAUGAGGUUGGUAUAACUUUUAAGGUUGGUUUUAUAGCAUUAGGAUUUGGUAAGAGGUUUUUGUUCUCUUCAUACCUAAAAAGAUUCUUAAAAUAGAUUUUUUUUUAAAUGCAUGGAUACAUAAAGUAUUAAAAAAAGACCGGAAUAUUAUAAAUACCAAUUAAAUUUUUUUUUUAACGACUUGAGUUAUUGGGUUGUAACAGUUUUUUAUAUGGUACGUAUCAGAGCCUUACAUGACUGAGAGGUCUCUGUUUUGAAUCCCGAUAGAUCUCAAUCCGUACACAUGACUUAUUGAAGUUGUUUAAACCUCAGUUCUUAUGAGAGCUUCUCUUUGAGGGGGUUUGUUAGUGAAUACUAUAAAUAUCAAUCAGAAUUGCAACUCAAAUUAUUAGGAUACGACGAUUCUUGACAAGACCGUCGCUAUGAUUAUCACUGUCAAUGUUGGCAUGGUUGGGUCGAUCGAAAAUUAAAAUUUGAAACAUUUUUUGGACCGAAUUAGGUAAAUUUUCAGGAAGUAAUUUUGAAAAUAAAUUCAUUUUUAUUUAAAUUUGUUAAAAAAUUUCGGACUAAUUUUUUUCAAGUCAUUGUAGUAGAGUCUUCUCAAUGUCCAUGACUACUAUAUAUAUAUAUUCUUCACUAACUUAUAUAAAAACAUAAUAUAAUAUCCUUAAUUAGCAAAAAUCAAUUUAAUACUCGUAUAAUAUACAUAUAUGAACUAUAUCCAUUUAAAAUUUUCAUUUUCANNNNNNNNNNNNNNNNNNNNNNNNNNNNNNNNNNNNNNNNNNNNNNNNNNNNNNNNNNNNNNNNNNNNNNNNNNNNNNNNNNNNNNNNNNNNNNNNNNNNNNNNNNNNNNNNNNNNNNNNNNNNNNNNNNNNNNNNNNNNNNNNNNNNNNNNNNNNNNNNNNNNNNNNNNNNNNNNNNNNNNNNNNNNNNNNNNNNNNNNNNNNNNNNNNNNNNNNNNNNNNNNNNNNNNNNNNNNNNNNNNNNNNNNNNNNNNNNNNNNNNNNNNNNNNNNNNNNNNNNNNNNNNNNNNNNNNNNNNNNNNNNNNNNNNNNNNNNNNNNNNNNNNNNNNNNNNNNNNNNNNNNNNNNNNNCAGGAAAACACGAGUAUACAUGAUUAAUUAGUCCCAAAAUUAAAUUCUGUGGAAAUAUUGAAUGAUGCUUCCAUGUGGUUUCGUGAAUCUCAAGGAUGUUUCUUAAUUUAUCCUCGGAUGACAUAAUCAUAUGCGACAUACAACUAAUUUUAAAUUACUAAUUUAUCCUCGGAUUGCAAUAUAAUGUUAUAUAGCUUUGUAGGGAGAAUUAGGACCAAUCUACUAACGACUCUUCGUAUGAUCCUUACCUAUAUAUACACCCCGCGUAAAGAACAAAAAAGUAUAUCGAAUGACUUGUUUGACCCGAUUUAGCUCUCUGUCUCUCUGACUCCCAGUUGGGUUCUAUUGUUAGUGAAUAAUAUAAAUAUCAAUCGAAAUCCCUUUUCAACAACUCGAAUUAUUAAAAUGCAACGAUUCUCGACAUCCAUAUUUGUAACAACUUGCAUCAUGAAAUAUCCAACAUAGCCACCUUCAAUAAUAUAAUGUAGCAUUUAGAUUGACCCCAAAACAAAAAGUCAACUGAUAUAUAUGAACAGUCUUAUGUAUCAUCACACCAAGGUGCCUUGCCAAUGCCAAACUUUUUGGAUUUAUUAUAAUAAUUUACACACAAAUUUGCUGUUAAUUUAAACCCAUUGGAUGCCAAUUUUCAUUUGUGGGUUAUAAGUCAGGCAUGACAUCAGUACAUCUAAUUAAUUUAUAUUAAUGGUCUCUAAUCAAACCUUUUCCUACCAAUUAAUUGAAUAAUAUUCAAAAAUCCACUUUCAGUCACCUGCUUCAUUUCUGGGUAAAUCCAGGCUUUACACACCAGAUGUGGCUGCUGUGCAUGCACCUAAUUACAGUCAACGUGUCGAAUUUAACUUACUCUCACGACCAGACCACUGUAAAAUUUGUGUUUGUUUUUCUGCUUUCAUCGGCUGUGUAAAAUUCUCCACUUGGUUUAUCUAUCGUCUAAUGUACUUUACUCCCUUUUUCCACACGUUUUUCUGGCAGCUGUCUUUCCGGCGGAAUCUUCUUCCAUUAAUAGGCUUGCUUGGCAGUUGACAACGAAUAGAUAUGUAAACAGGUUUGGUAUAUUCGGCAUUCAUUUAAAUAAUUAUUAGAUUAUACUAAUAUUUACCCGUUUAUGUAAACGGACAUAAUAUUAAAACUUAUUUUCGGGAAUAGGGGAGAAUUCAUUGAAACAACUUCAACAACUUUAUUUGAAUUUAGAAGUUCGAUACUAAAUGUUUUUUUAUAUAUAUUUGUGGAUGAAUUAAUAUUUUCUUAUGUACAGUUUAAUGUAUUUAAAAUUAUAUACCAACCUGACCCAGUGUAUUGACUUANNNNNNNNNNNNNNNNNNNNNNNNNNNNNNNNNNNNNNNNNNNNNNNNNNNNNNNNNNNNNNNNNNNNNNNNNNNNNNNNNNNNNNNNNNNNNNNNNNNNNNNNNNNNNNNNNNNNNNNNNNNNNNNNNNNNNNNNNNNNNNNNNNNNNNNNNNNNNNNNNNNNNNNNNNNNNNNNNNNNNNNNNNNNNNNNNNNNNNNNNNNNNNNNNNNNNNNNNNNNNNNNNNNNNNNNNNNNNNNNNNNNNNNNNNNNNNNNNNNNNNNNNNNNNNNNNNNNNNNNNNNNNNNNNNNNNNNNNNNNNNNNNNNNNNNNNNNNNNNNNNNNNNNNNNNNNNNNNNNNNNNNNNNNNNNNNNNNNNNNNNNNNNNNNNNNNNNNNNNNNNNNNNNNNNNNNNNNNNNNNNNNNNNNNNNNNNNNNNNNNNNNNNNNNNNNNNNNNNNNNNNNNNNNNNNNNNNNNNNNNNNNNNNNNNNNNNNNNNNNNNNNNNNNNNNNNNNNNNNNNNNNNNNNNNNNNNNNNNNNNNNNNNNNNNNNNNNNNNNNNNNNNNNNNNNNNNNNNNNNNNNNNNNNNNNNNNNNNNNNNNNNNNNNNNNNNNNNNNNNNNNNNNNNNNNNNNNNNNNNNNNNNNNNNNNNNNNNNNNNNNNNNNNNNNNNNNNNNNNNNNNNNNNNNNNNNNNNNNNNNNNNNNNNNNNNNNNNNNNNNNNNNNNNNNAUGGAAUAUGAGAACAUAUAAACAUUUAGUUUAGCUUGUACUUUUUUAAUAGAUAGCUUCCAGAAUAAAGAAUCGAACCAAAACUAAUCAUUUAGCCAAAUCGUCACGUCAGAAGAUGAUGAACACAACCUGAAAAAUAAGAAAAAGUCUGUCUUCCCACUAAUCGAAUGGAAAGCUUGAUUAGUACCACCUCAAACCACCUGCAAAUCAUAUGCUAAUAAAUAUGCUUAAUGUGGCAUUAUCUUGUAUUUCCGAAGAGUAGCUAAUAGAAUAUUAACGAUCUACAAUCACGAUCUCACUCCAAUUUUCAGUUCCAAGUAAAAUUGUCAAUCUUGUACUAAAAGAUCCUAUUGCAAAUGAUCAAUAUCACUCAUCUAACAUUAAGAUUAUGAAAACCCCAUUGGAUGAGUCCACUAUUGGAAGAAAAAUGAUGGUGGGAGAGAGGAGAAAGGUCUUCAAGUGUAGGUUAACUACUAUCGUCACUUUCUGUGGUUUGAAAUUCAGCUACCAUACUUUAUUUAUUAUUACUAUGGAAGCUAACCCAGAGAGUUAAUUAGAAGUCAAUUGUACUUUGAAAUAAUGUAAUACUACUGUUCUUAUCGAUAAUAAAUUUCACAUCAACAAAACAUUAAAAAAAAGAGCUCAUUAGAAGGAAGAAAUUUCGAAAAAUCAUCACCCUGCUCUCCCCUAAAGCAAAGGAGCUAAAACGAGUGGAAGGUAGAGGUGAUCUCCAACCAAAUCACCUACCUACCUUCCAUCAUUUAAAGUUAGUGGAAUUGGCGUUCCAAUUAGCUACUUUAAGUUUGUUGAAUUCGGCUGUCAAAGCGGGCAACUAGCUAGCAACACUAAAAUCGUCGGAUUUCAAAUCAGACACUAUCUUGUAGAAGAAAAAAAAAUUAAGACUUAUCUACCAAUCUGAAUAUACAUUCUUAAACCGUUAGAUUAUCUUUAUCCCAAAAUUAAUUAUCAAUUUCUAAUAUAAUUUUUAUUGUCAAAUGAUCAACUUUAAUCAUUAUCUCAUUUAAAAAUUUUAAGUCACCUCCAUCCUUACAAUAUUUUAACAAUUUCUAAUACUAUCUAUUCUUUUCUAAACAAUGUUUUUGCAUAAUUCCUAUUAUUUUUUAACCUCAUUAAUUGACUAUACAUAAAUGUUUGUCUAUAUGACAUUAUUAAUUAAUUUUCUAAAUUGUAAAAAUUAUUAAUUGGAUACUACCUCAGUACCUCACCCUCCACCGAUCACUUAAGCCAUUGUUAAAAUUUAGCGACGGAUAUAUCUAAUCUAAUAGUCCAGAUUAAUUAUUGUAGAAAUUUAUUGAAGGAGCAAUUAUUAAAAUUGAUGAUUUUCCAUGAAAUUGCAAUUCGCAUGGUUCGAAUGAGUUGAUAAUAAAAAUGUAUGCAUUUGUGUGAAAAGGUCUUUUAAUUUUCAUGAGGAUUAGUCAAUUAACAGAACGUGGAUGUCAAAACUGCAUAAACAAAUUGAGAAAAAUAUUAAAUAUACAACUUGGUUUUACAUGUGACGAUAUUUUAUGCUAAAGUUUAGAAAGAGUCGUCUCUGUUGCACGAACUGCCAAACAAGAUUAGGCAACUAAUUACCUACUUGUUCCCCAUCUCCAUCACACUUAAUUUGCACCAACUUAUCUAAAGUAAAGGUAAAAAGAAUAUACAAAAUAAAAGUUAAAAUUGACCCCUAGUUGUGACGUUUUUCUUUAAUUAUAAAGUCGAGAGUUAACUUUUUAAUUAUGUACUUAAUAUUAUGUGACAAGUGACUAUUCAAUCGAUAUUACGUGACACUUGAUACGGUAGCUAGCGUAGAUAUCGUGUCAAUUUCAUCACUAACUGUGUUAAAUAAGUUAAUUGACCAAAUUUGUGAAAAACUCGGCUACAUUUUACAUUUAGACUGAUGAUAAGAUAGUUUAGGCCAGUCAUAACCCACAAAUGUUAGGCUAGAGAAGUGUAUUAGUGCAAAACUAUCGAUGUAUAGGGUUUUUUUUGUUACAUAUAGUUCUCAAAUGGAGAAUUUAUGAUAGUAAGCACAAGCGAGAUUAAAAAUCGACUCAAACUGUGAAAUUAGAUAUAAAAAGUAUGUCAAGCCAUUUAAAAAGGGAAGUUUCGUUAGCAGACUGUCGAACAACCUGCAUCUAAAGUCGAGUACAUAUAUCGUCAAAGAGCGAGAUCAAAGCUCUACCAGCCACAUCUAGAGCCGAGGACAUAUGCCGUCAAAGAGCGAGGAUCCCGCCAUAAAGGCUCCACUUGCCACAUCUAGAGCCGAUGAUAUGUGCCGCCAAAGAGCGAGGAUACUUCCAUGAAGGCUUCACCUGCUACAUCUAGAGCCGAGGAUAUAUGCCGUCAAAGAGCGAGGAUCCCGUCAUGAAGGCUCCACUUGCCACAUCUAGAGCUGAUGAUAUAUGUCGUCAAAGAGCGAAGAUCCUACCAUGAAGGCUCCACCUGCUACAUCUAGAGCCGAGGACAUAUGCCGUCAAAAAGCGAAGAUCCCGCCAUGAUGGCUCCACUUGCCACAUCUUGAGCCGAAGACAUAUGUCGUUAAAUAUUAAAGAUCCCGCCAUAAAGGCUCAACCUACCACAUUUAGAGCCGAUGACAUAUGUUGUUAAAGAGUGAGGAUCCCGCCAUAAAAGCUCUACCUACCACAUCUAAAUUCGAGACAAAUAUACAUCAAAGAACGAUGAUCCCGCUAUGAAAGCUCCACCAGCCGCACUAUCGAUGUAUAGGCUAAAAAUUGAAUAUAUGAUCAUAAUUGUGGGUCAACAAAAAUUAAUCAUUUCCGGAACUAUUUAUUUAUUUAUUUCAACUCAUAAUUUUGUUCCACGUCACUUUCUUUCAUAUUGGGUUAACAAAAUUUAAGCCAAUACCAUUUACAUAAUAUACUAACAACUCUCCAUAAUAUUGAGUUCGAAUUCAGUCCAAUCGAUGAAUAAAAUUCCCAAAAUAAAGGGACACGAUAAUUAGUAUUCUAAUCAAAGCUAAUUUCCCCUAUAUUAAACUAAUCAAAUAUAUUAUCUCCACGUAACUUCGUCAACAACAGAACAAACUGCUGACUCCCCCAAUCUCCUCCGUCUCCGCAGCCCACCACCGGCGUCUCCGCCGCCGCCGGCAUAUCAACUUUCCUCCGGCAGAGCGGACAAGUAACAACAACAACCAACUUCCGAUCAUCGGCUCGAAACAGCCACUUGUCAACGCAAUCCUUGUGGAAACUAUGACUACAUCCCAAUUUCCUCACAUCCUCUCCGGCCAUGAACUCGCUCAAACAAACCGCGCACUCCUCCUCCUUCUCCGACGACGAGGAGACCCAUUUGGCCGAAGGGUACGUGUCCUCAACGAAUUGGCGACGGCGAUUGGUGGUGGGUUUGGUUCGGGUAAUUCGGUUGGGUCGGGUUAGGACGGCCAGUUUGAGGAGUAGAAGCUUGGUGAAGAAGACGGCGACUGUGUAGAGGUCGGAGAUGAUGCUAUAAGGCCACAUUUGAGCUUUGAGAAAUUAUGAAAGGAAAUGAGAGGGAAGGGAUAUAUAUGGGUUAAAUAAUACGAUUGAUUAAUUAUCAGAAACAUAAUAAUAAAUAAUAUAAUCGAUUAGUCUUUUGGUGUAUUAGUGAAUGAUUUGUUGAUGAUUUAGAGACUAAUUAUUAUAAAAUUAGGAGUUUGCCUUUUCAAAGAUUAAUACAUGUUGGGGUUUGUUUUUAUGUGAUGAUUGGUGUUUUUUUAAUUAGUAACUUCAAUACAUUUAUACAAUCUUCUUACCAAAAAGAUAAUAUAUAAUCGGAAUUUAAAUUUAUUGUUUGAUUAUUCAGUCUCGGUCUAUUCAGAAAAAAAAUAGUAACUUCAAUAGAUUUAUACAGUCACAAACUUUUUACCAAAACAAUAAUAUAUAGUCCGAAUUUAAAUUUACGGUUUGAUUAUCCAGUCUCGGUUUACUCAGAUGACAAAUUCUUGGACCACAAAAUGUGUGAUAAUGGGAUGGAUGGUCCAACCCAGCAAAGCCACACACGAGUGAUCAUUUAACCUGUUUACAACGUUGGUCCUUGUUUGUAUUGGCUGCUCAUUGUAUGAACACUCAAAUUUGCCUCCUCUUCAUUUAUUCCAUUAUAACCAAAAUGAGAGUGAAAGAGCAUGCUUGUAGAGUAAUAAAGAGUCUCUUUGUGUCACUAAAUGGCGGCCAGGUUAUCCAAACGAUAAAUAUGAAAAAGUGAUACUAGAGGGACAGAUUGAAGGGUUGAUCUGCAUUCAAGAUGUAAUUUUCCAACAUGGGAGUCAUUUAGCAUCGGAAUUGAGUAAGUGAACCGUCUCUGCUGAAUCUGAGAAGGAUUGAUUUGCAUUCAGGAAGUAGUAGUUCAUGGCUCAAAUCCAACCUUCGUCCAUGACGAAGUAACGAUAUUGCAUAUUUCGAUUUUUGUAAGUAAUUAAGUCAAUAAUUAGUUCAAUAUUUUCUCACUUAUUCAAUUUAAUGGUUCGUCCAGUUAUCAGGUUGGUAUAAACUUUAGGACACCAUCCACAAUAGAGUCGAUGGGCUUUUAAAACAUGGCUAGCAAUAUGGGCUUCUAUCUUGGCUUGUGAGACUAUCAAUAAUUAAGUACCAAAAUUUGACUAAUUUUGUACUUAAAAGGUUGCUAAUUGGGAUUAUUUUUGUCAACAAACUUCAUGAAUAGAGACUUCUUUGCUGAGAUCCAACUCAAGUGGGCAAAAGCCCGUUGAAAUUGUUCAAGUGGGCAAAAGCGUGUUUGGUGUUUGAAUGAGAUUGGUCGAUAUAGUGGUGGUGUUCUAUAAAAAAAAUUAUGAAUGAAAUGUGUGGUGGAGAUCCGGAGCGAAUCUAAAAUGGUUUAAUAUACUAUGUCGAAUUAUGUAAAAGUUUAAAUACAUUGAAUUAUAUAUAAAAAAUGUCAACAAAACAAAAAACAAAAUAAAAAUUAUAUAGUAUUGAACUUUAAAAUUCGAAAAUAUACGGAAUCGGGACCGAAAGAAAACCCAGAAUCCGCCACUAGCGGAAAUAGUUAUGAAAACAAUUGUGUGGUGGAGAUUUAGUUUGGAAAUUAUAUUGGGGUUUUGCGACCGACCAUUCCACAAUGAAUGAAUGAAAUAUAAAAAUGUGGGAAACGGUAGUGUGCAUUCCACAGUUAGCCAUAUAAAAAUGGCAAUGGUGAUUAAAUUAUAAGCUUAUAACACCCCCAUAAUAUUAAUUAUAUUCACCAUUUCUCUUUCAAAUAUAAAAAAAAUUACGUAUUAUCAAAACUCGAUAUUUGUGGGUUGGAUGGUAUUGCCAAAGUUUAAUUUUACGCGAACAGCUAAAAUUAGAUAGACUCUAACAGACUAGUUCAACUAAGCAUGGUACAACCUAUACAGUGCUCACAAACGGGCACUUUUGUCAAAAUUUAUAAUAUUGGCCCGAUAUUUGAGUUUUGUCUAAAUUCGUCACUUCGAUAAACCGGGCCGAGCUUUAAAUAUAAAAAAAACAAUGAGUACUAGAAGAGGCAGAAAGCCAACCGGCCAGCUAUCGAUCGACGGUUUGGUUGGCUGAAGUAAUUUUACCUUUUGCUCCUAGAAACUGAACCGUUAGAUCAAGGUUUAUAGAUCUUAUGGCUGAGAUUCUGGUCGAUGCUAUCAAGUAAGAUUUCUCCAUGACUCAUAAGAUUUCCUCUUUAUCUAUUGAUAAAAACAAACAUUUCCUCUUCAUCUAUGGUCCACAGACCUCCUUUAGUUCAGUGACCAAUCUGUUAAUAACCCUAAACUUGAAUGACCAUUUACGUAGAACCGCAUGCAAACUUCCCUCUAUAAAUAAUACAGAAAACCACCAGUCCACCAGAUACACAGAAAACCUGAAAGCUUUCAGUUUCAAGAAGAAGAAAGCAAAAAUGUCUUCUCUGGGAGCAGCUUGCGCCAAUGUCUACGUGCAGCAAAAGCUGGUGCAAGACAAACUAAAGAUGAAGAUGGAAAGGAAGAAGAAAAAAGAAGAAACCAUAAGUCCGGCGGUUUCGAUACGGAAAAAUCUGCCGGUGGCGGCGGUUCUAGGGUUCACCCCGUCAAAUCCGGCGCCGAUCAUCUUUAUGCGGCGGCGGCGGGAGAACAUGUUUAAGUGUUCUUUUUCUUAUCAGGGUGUUUAAGUUUGUUUAAUUGCUUUUUUGUUCAUGCUAUUUCUUUUUUGUUUUAAUUUCGCCGUCGUUGUACAAUAUUUGUGAUGUAUUUAAUUUCAACUUUUUUAUUAUUAUCAAAUGUUAAUGUGUCGUAUGUUGUUCACCCAAUUAAUUAACUUUUCUGUGUAACUGUGUCAUAUAUUUUAGCUACGACUGUUCUACAAUUAGUAUUCUUAUGGUCAUCAAAAUCGAGAUUAUAUAUCCCAGAAGUUGGUACAGUUAAUUAUGUUACGUG